CCAGAUGGCCGGAUGACCGCUGUCGGAGGCUUCGGCCUGCGGGGGAGGAAAGUCCGGGCUCCAUGGAAACAAGGUGCCGGAUAACGUCCGGCGGGGGCGACCCCAGGGACAGUGCAACAGAAAGCAAACCGCCGGCCGUUCGCGGCCGGUAAGGGUGAAAGGGUGCGGUAAGAGCGCACCGCGCUGCCGGUAACGGUGGCGGCACGGCAAACCCCACCUGGAGCAAGACCAAAUAGGAACGGCCGUUCGGGCGGUUCGCCGCGCCGGAAGAUGCGUUUCCACAUCGCCGUUCGGGUCGGUCGCGCGAGGCGCUUGGCGACAAGCGUCCCAGAGGAAUGGUCAUCGCUUGGCGUCAGCCAAGGACAGAACCCGGCUUACAGGCCAUCUGGCAUU
rnacentral:RNase_P_RNA from 1 species